AGGAGCCCGUGGGCAGCUGACGGUGGCCCGGCGAGGCCGCUGAGGAAAGUCCUCGCUCCGAAACGCAACGCGGCCCGGCGCAAGCCGGGGGGCCGAGAGGCCCGGCAACCGCACAGAGACGACACCGCCUCCGGGGAGGAUGAUCGGCGAUUGCGGCCGUGACGUUCCCGGGGGAGAGGGUGGAACGGCGAGCCCCCGCGGGAGCAAGUCCCAUGCGGACGCUGAGUUGAAUGCUGCCAGAACAGAACGAGGCUUACGGCGGGCACCU
rnacentral:RNase_P_RNA from 2 species